rnacentral:rRNA from 1 species
UACGGAGGGGGCUAGCGUUAUUCGGCAUUAUUGGGCGUAAAGGGCGCGUAGGCGGCCCGGUAAGUCAAAGGUGAAAUCCCUCGGCUCAACUGAGGAACUGCCUUUGAAACUGUCGGGCUUGAGGCCGGGAGGGGGUAGCGGAAUUCCCAGUGUAGCGGUGAAAUGCGUAGAUAUUGGGAGGAACACCGGUGGCGAAGGCGGCUACCUGGACCGGUUCUGACGCUGAUGCGCGAAAGCGUGGGUAGCAAACAGG